rnacentral:ncRNA from 1 species
UCACAUGACUGGCGACAAAAGGCUUGACCUUGAGAUGGAUUAAACCAUCGGGGAGUGUGGAAAAAUUCUAAGCCGCUCGCCUGGGCACC